rnacentral:rRNA from 1 species
AACGCGAAGAACCUUACCUGGGCUUGAACUACGGAUGGUAAGCUGUUGGAAACAUCGGCUGACCCGCAAGGGAGUCCGCAGAGGUGCUGCAUGGUUGUCGUCAGCUCGUGUCGUGAGAUGUUGGGUUAAGUCCCGCAACGAGCGCAACCCCUAUUCGAUGUUGCUAAUCCCGCAAGGGAUGCACUCUUCGAAAACUGCCUUCGAUAAGAAGGAGGAAGGUGGGGACGACGUCAAAUCCUCAUGGCCCUUAUGUCCAGGGCUACACACGUGUUACAAUGGCCGGUACAAUGGGAAGCAAUGCCGCAAGGUGGAGCCAAACCCACAAAGCCGGCCCCAGUUCAGAUUGUGGGCUGCAACUCGCCCACAUGAAGGCGGAAUCGCUAGUAAUCGCUGAUCAGCAGGCAGCGGUGAAUACGUUCCCGGGCCUUGUA